CGAAAUCAUAACGGUCGAACGAAAGCCAUUAUCACAGCCUCCAAACGGAUAGCUGUUUAUUCCCGUCUUUUCUACGCGUAAUUCACCUUUUUUAAGGAUUUGAUGGCAGAAAAUGGAUUGAAGUAAAAGGACAUUAUGAUAGAGAUAGUAAAAUGUGCUCGAGUUGCAAAGCCAGAAAAGAAAGAAGUUUGAGGUAUAAGGAAUGUAUCAAGGCGUAAAGUUAUUCACUAAUCACUGUACUUACAUCUAAAGCGCCUAUGAUUUAUAAACUGUUACUUGAAGCACAAAAUUGAAUAACUUAGCUUAGUAAAAACCUAGUAAUCAGUCUUGCACCUAAAAUUUGUCCAGAUAUUUAUUUUAAAUAUCUAAUGUUACUGUAGUUGGUUUUUGUAUUCUGAUCACAGUAAACCCUGCAUAUGAAGAACCUAGUUAUCUUUUCAAGCUAGCCUACCAGGUUCAAAUUUAAAUGGUGCAUAUAGAGGCAUUAGGCUUCUAGCUUCUUAUCUGAAUAUACAAAGAUGGAGGAGGAGGCAGUUCUUUUGGAAAACCGUAAUGACGCCAAAAAGGGUAAUGUUUAAAAGUUGUUAAAGUUGUUA